CUAUAUAUACCCUGUAGAACCGAAUUUGUGUGGUAUUCAUAUAGUCACAGAUUCGAUUCUAGGGGAAUAUAUGGU
rfam:Struthio camelus australis contig55087, whole genome shotgun sequence.